CACUGAGUCAUUUAAACUCCAGCAUGGCAAGGCUGGAGUAUGGAUGGAGCAUUAACUAUCAGGGCUAUAAUCCUCAGUUACUAUGCUAGAACUCAAGCUAGAAGAAAAUCCCAUCACAGAAAUAAACACAAGCCUUGGUACCGUGAGGUUAGGCUGUCUGCUCAAGAUCGGUCAACGGCAGAGUUCGGAGUAGGAUCCAGGUGUCCUGAUUCCUAGUCCUUGCUGUUACCACCACACAUGUUUUCUUUCAGAGUUUGAGACUCGGAUUUAAAGGUCUGUUGUUAAAACGUGUUAGCUAACAAGCGAUUGUUCAACAUCUUAUAAAAAUCUACUGAAGGUGAGGAAGUGCAGACUGCUAAGACUGGAGCCUGGACAAACUCCCAUGUAGAUAAGUAAAAUGAAGUGGGCCCUGUUAUGACAACUAAGGCUGAUGAAAAGUGGGAGGCUUUUUCAGAGACUAUUCACAGUCAUGUGCUUGGGGAAAACUUUCCGAAGUAGUUAAGUGCCAUUUUCAAAAGUGACUUAGGAGCCUGAGUCUCAUUGAAAAUCAGCGGGAUUUUGGCCCACACAUUUAAAGUCCAAUUGACUUUCAAUGAGAUUUAGGCUCCCAAGUCACUUAAGUACUUUUGAAAAUGUUACCCCCAAUCUAGCGGCGAGCCACUGAACAAUGGAUCACCUUGGAGGCUUUCAGAAUGGGGGGUUUGCUCUAUCGAGGUGCUAUCUUAACAUAAACUCCGUUUUUUGGUGCUAGUGACGAUACAGAUGCCAACUGCAAAGGAAUCUGAAAAAGAGAAAAUAAAUUACAUAUUUUAUACAUGUACUCGCUUUCACACAGUGCGCGCGUGUAAAAGAUUCACAAAUACAAAUUGAUACUUUCAGUUUCAGAUUAACUCAUACAGACGUCAUGGAAGUUGUAAAGUGUCCUUUUUAUAGCCAGUUGUUGGCAGUAGAAUGGUAAAAAUAAUUUUUUUUUUAGGUUAGGCAGUGGAUGCCCAGGUAUCUUACAAAUCUAAAUAAAAUAAACUUCCAUAAGCUCUAGAGCUGCUAAAUAUACAGUAGGUGCAAACACAGAAGUACCAACGUACUCUGAUAAACACACUGGUGUAAACUGACAUAGACUAUUCAUACCAGCAGAGAUCUGGGCUGUAGGCUCUAUGGUUUAUAGAAGUUUGUUUUAUUUGCUAAAUGACAAAUCCAAUUAUAUUUUGAUUAAAGUAAUGUGAUUCAG